UGGGCUAUAGCCAAGUGGUAAGGCAGCGGAUUUUGAUUCCGUCAUUCGCUGGUUCGAAUCCAGCUAGCCCAG
rnacentral:tRNA from 1 species